UACGGAGGAUGCAAGCGUUAUCCGGAUUUAUUGGGUUUAAAGGGUGCGCAGGCGGAUUGGUAAGUCAGAGGUGAAAUCCCACAGCUUAACUGUGGAACUGCCUUUGAUACUGUCAGUCUAGAGUGUAGUUGAAGUUGGCGGAAUGUGUCAUGUAGCGGUGAAAUGCUUAGAUAUGACACAGAACACCGAUCGCGAAGGCAGCUAGCUAAACUAUAACUGACGCUCAUGCACGAAAGCGUGGGGAUCAAAC
rnacentral:rRNA from 1 species